GUAGGGGUUGGUUUUGGUUCUGGUUUAAAAAUUGUCGGUCUUCUUGGAGUAACAUCAUGUCCUGUAUGGUUCUCUGGGUGAAGGCUCGGAUGCGAUUUUGUAAAAACUGAGUGAAUAGGCGCAAGAGGCAGAGCCCAAAGGCCAGGAGAAGGAGGAUAGUUAUAGCAGGGCCAAGGAGGGGAAGUAGCCAGGUGGCCCAAGAACUGAGACACCAAGGGGACCAAGGGGGCCAAGAGGGCCAGGCAGAGGAGCUGUUUUAUUUUCUGAGCUUGGUCUUUGAGCUUCUUGACUGCAUCUUGUACCAAACCUGAUUGGUUGAGAUAAAAACAGCACUGCUCAUCUAAGAAAAUGCAGAGACCUCCUUUUUCAGGGGUAAGUCAAGACCUCUGCAGUUUUGGAGGACUACUGCUGCUAAUGAUUCCAAUUGUGAUUGGAGGUUUGAGACGGCAUUAGCUAUGCCCUCUAUAUGUCCAUAAGGUCUUUUGAGAGUGAGCGAUAGUAGGUGAGGGAAGUGGAUAGGCCUGCUAUUCCAGUUCCUGUGGCAGUGGCAAUUCCUAGUCUGGCAAGUAGGGAUAUGAGUUGUAUGGCUUGACGAUGUUGAACCGAGGCCUGAAUUGGGGUGGAGAGUAGAAGAGAGGAUAAUAUAAAGAUCACGCCAAGUGAGUUUGUAAGAUUGGGUAAGGUAUUUGAACUCCUUAAUAUAAGUGUCGGGAUCAGAGAAAAAGGACUCCAGAUGUUUUUCAAUUUGGAAAUGGUCAGAGAGGGAGAAGGGAACAUGGAAAUGCAAAUGAUCCCUUCAGUCCCAGCCACCUCUCAAAGGCUGUCUACCAUGGCAGAUGGAGGUGGUGAAGAUAUCACUGAACUCAUGAAACCAUAGGAAUCAAGUCUUCUGAAGUAGCACCAUUAUCAACUUCCACACACUGUUCACAAUAGACAAGAGUUGGAAGCAACCUCUGUGACCAUCAGCAGAGGAAUAAAUAAAGAAAAUGGGAUUCUUCUACACAAAGAGUACUAAUCAGCCAUAAACAAGAAUAGGAUCCUGUCAUUUGUAACAACAUGUAUGGAAUCAGAGCAUAUUGUGUUAAGUGAAAUAAGCCAGGCACAGAAAGACACUCUUCUUCCCAUGUUCUCAUUCAUUUUGGGGGGCUAAAAAUUUAAAAAAAUUGAACUCGUGGAGAUAGAGAGUAGAAUGGUGGUUGUCACAGGCUGGGUGAGUAGUACAGAGAGCGGGACAACCGGGAUAGUUAAUGGGUACAAAAUAUGGUUAGAAUGAAUAAGAUCUAAUAUUUUAUAGCACAACAGGAUGACUACAGUCAGCAAUAAUUUGUUGUACAUUUUGAAUAACUAAAGAAGUACAGUUAGAUUGUAACACUAAGAAAUUAGAAAUUAUGAAUGCUUGGGGUGUCAAAUAGCUCAUUUACUCUGAUGUGAUUAUUACACAUUGUAUACUUGUAUCAAAAUAUCUCAUGUGCCGCAUAAAUAUAUAAACCUACUAUGUACCUGUAAGUUUUUUUAAGCCAACUUAAAAAAUGCUUUAAAAGUGUACCAACAAAUUUUAUAAGCAAUAUUAUUCAAUAGUCAUCUGGUAAAACAACCUGUAAUUAUUAUUUGGUGUUCAUGCACAACUACGUAAAAGUUCUUCUUUCUUUAAUUAAAAAAAACUCUAAUAUGUGCAUGUUUUCAGUUCAAAUGUUUUAUUACAUUCUGGGACAAUUGCCUUGACAUGAUAAAACAUGGCCUCAGAUAUUUUAUAUUUUUUACAUUUGUUGAUAUUUUGGGGAAGGAAAUGUAUACUUCAUUUGUUAAUUAAUUUUUAAAAAAUUAUUAGUCUGUAUUUGUUGGAAACC
rnacentral:lncRNA from 1 species